UACGUAGGAUGCAAGCGUUGUCCGGAAUUAUUGGGCGUAAAGAGCGCGCAGGCGGUCUAUCAAGUCAGAUGUGAAAUAUCCCGGCUUAACCGGGAGGGGUCAUUUGAAACUGGUAGACUAGAGUACAGCAGAGGAUAGCGGAAUUCCCGGUGUAGUGGUGAAAUGCGUAGAUAUCGGGAGGAACACCAGUGGCGAAGGCGGCUAUCUGGGCUGAAACUGACGCUGAGGCGCGAAGGCUAGGGGAGCAAACAGGG
rnacentral:rRNA from 1 species